CUCCUGAAUGAAAAGAAGGAAUUUAAAGACAAGCGGCAGCUUGUGAACAAAGAUACAAAGCAAACAUGGGUCCAUCUUUUGUUGAAUGAAAAUAAAGCUGUUGGUAGUUUGGCCCCACAGAACCGGUGAGGCUGGUUUGAAGGGAGUCGGCUGCAUUUCAGCUCAUGAAUCACCACUUGUUUUCUAUAUGUGUCUAUUAUUAUCUGCACGUCAGACAUUGUGAGUCCACUCUUAUAAAAGGGAAGUUUUCUCCUCAGUGUGCAUCAGUCUCAUCUGAACACGGAUCAGAUUUGUCUUCACCUGGUGAACUCUGAGCUGUUGCGAUGGCCUGCGAAGAAGUCAAGGAAAAAUUCAAAAAGUACGCCGGGGAGGAUGAGCUCUUGAGCGAAGCAGAAUUCAAGAAAAUGGUUGAAAACGAAGUUGGCAACGUGCGCAUCAGGGACAGAGUCCUCAAACAUGCCUCAAAAAUUAUCAAGAAGAGGGAUACGGACGGUGACGGAAAGCUCAGUUUCGAGGAGUUCGAGAACUGCGCCCGUCUGAUGAAACAACUCAAAGACAAGGAGAAGAAGGGCGAGCCUCUUGAGGAUUCAGAGUAAAAACAGAACAUCAAGUGGAAAAGCUUUGAAAAAUCAUAGUGUGUAAAAUAAAAAGACACUGCCAACAAUGUCAACUGUUUUAUCAGUGUUUUCUGUUCAAUCCUGGAAGAGAAUAAAUGUAAACUAUUACAUUCUGAGUGAUGUGAGUUUCUUUGUGUGUUUGUGAUGAUCAAUAACUGUUCAGUGGGAGGAAAUAAUCAAUGACACAACUUGUUGGUACAAACAGCAACAGGAUGUGAGCUGUCUUAUAAAAUAAAACAAUUUAUUAUUAAUAGAGUAAUUAAAUAGGACUUUAACCCC
ensembl:lncRNA